rnacentral:misc_RNA from 1 species
CGCACAUUGCGCCCCCUGGCAUUCCGGGGGGCAUGCCUGUUCGAGCGUCGUCGCACAGACAAGCCUCGGCUUGGUGUUGGGGAGCGUCGGUGACGCCCCCGAAAGGCAGCGGUGGCACGAGCUGACUUCCGACGUAGCAGACUAUGGGAGAAGCCGCGAGUCCACCCACCAAUCCACCUCCGACCUCGGAUCAGGUAGGGAUACCCGCUGAACUUAA